GAAACAUGGCGGCAGCUACGGAGUAGGUGGCCGUGUCUCCGCCGCGCGCCGUGGAAGGAGUAGCCGGGACAGACGCCCGGGCCUCGGUGUCCGCCACCCCGAGAGGACGUCCGGGUGCGCUGCACCUUGAAGCGGCCCGUGGAGGACCUGGAAGAUUCGUGCGGCGGCUUCAUGCCGCUUGUCGGGGACGCGCUGCCAGAGGAGAUUGGGGAGCUCGCGCUGCGAGACUUUUGAAUCAGCUGUGCAAGAGAAUGUAAGCAUAAUGGCAAGAGUGGCAGGAAUCUUCCAGAUAAUUUUAUGGCAAGAAAGCAUUCAAGGAGAGAUAUAAACAUGGAUGAGCUUUGGAGGGGGCUCAAGAUGGCGUGUGAGUAGGGUGAUGGAAAUCUCCUCUUAAAACCAUAUAUAUAUUUUUGAAAAUACAACAGACACAACUAUUCCUAAAAGAGAGACCAGAAGACACAGUACAACAGUCAGGCUACAUCUACAUCUCUGAGA